rnacentral:lncRNA from 1 species
UAUAAAUUCUCUUGGUAGGGAUCUAAUUCUUAGACAAUAUUCCCAAUUCUCUUGCUUAAUCUUCUGCGCCUAACCCCUCUCACAUCAUGUUUCAUGCAGUCUCCAGCAUUAGCCAUUGAAUUGCACUCCUGCACCUGGGCAUCAUGAUCCUGAACGUUACCACCAACUCAACAGAGAUUUAGAAAGGACAGAUUGCAAUUUUUGUAUAGACCAGAAAUACCCAGGCUGAGACUUGAAGAAAAUCAAAUCGAGCACUGCAGUUUUAGCAGCUUGAUUCAUAGUACCAUUUAUUCAACAGAAUGAUCAGGUAAGCCUAGAUGUUGAUUUGGGCAUAUAAAACCUUCUGUGCGUGUUAAUAUUAAAUUUAAGUAGAAGCUAAUUUUUAUUACUUCAAGCUGCA